rnacentral:rRNA from 1 species
UACGUAGGGUCCGAGCGUUGUCCGGAAUUACUGGGCGUAAAGAGCUCGUAGGUGGUUUGUCGCGUUGUUCGUGAAAACUCACAGCUUAACUGUGGGCGUGCGGGCGAUACGGGCAGACUGGAGUACUGCAGGGGAGACUGGAAUUCCUGGUGUAGCGGUGGAAUGCGCAGAUAUCAGGAGGAACACCGGUGGCGAAGGCGGGGUCUCUGGGCCGUAACUGACGCUGGAGGAAGCGAAAGCAGUGGGGAGCGAACAGG